AUGUCACGACCCCCGCCCCGUUCCCGGCGGGCCGCCGCGACGGUCCUAGGGUGCGGGUAGGCAUAAGGCCACCAGCCACCGCGUAGAACCCUACUACCUAUCAAUUAUCAAUAAAUCUUGAAAAAAAUUUGGCAUGAUGCAUGCACAAAAUGAUCACUUUUCCUAUAGUGACCUGUCAGGAUUAUCUCAAUACAUACAACACACUACCUGUCAGAGCAGCAAUCACAUAAUCUGUCACAUAAUAAACCUG
rnacentral:lncRNA from 1 species